UCGGUUUUGAAGAAAGGGAGAUAGAGAGCAUCAGAAAAUAAAGGGUGCUGCAUCUCCUCUUUGAAGGGAAGAAGAAAGUGCUCCUCUUCAAUUGUUCCCUCGGAUCACGGCUGAGAUGAAAAAGUACAAAGAAGGGUACAUCUACAUGUCGAGUUUGGAAGACGCACAAGAGAAAGCCUUUGUCAUCGGGCACAUGCAAUCAGCAAGUUUCAGUGGACCUGGAGAGUCCAGUGAUGGAGCUACCUCGAAGUCGAAGGCCAAAGGAAAACAACCGUCGGAUCAAGAAUGAGUUUUACUCAGGGUGGAGUCAGUCAAUGCUCAAGGGGACACUUCCCCCCAUUUGGCAAACUCAGUAGUACUUAUGCUAGUUAUCAAACUCAAUG